rnacentral:rRNA from 1 species
GUGCCAGCCGCAGCGGUAAUACGUAGGUGGCAAGCGUUGUCCGGAUUUAUUGGGCGUAAAGGGAACGCAGGCGGUCUUUUAAGUCUGAUGUGAAAGCCUUCGGCUUAACCGAAGUCGUGCAUUGGAAACUGGGAGACUUGAGUGCAGAAGAGGAGAGUGGAACUCCAUGUGUAGCGGUGAAAUGCGUAGAUAUAUGGAAGAACACCAGUGGCGAAAGCGGCUCUCUGGUCUGUAACUGACGCUGAGGUUCGAAAGCGUGGGUAGCAAACAGGAUUAGAUACCCUGGUAGUCCACGCUGUAAACGAUGAAUGCUAAGUGUUGGAGGUUUCCGCCUUCAGUGCCGCAGCAAACGCAUUAAGCAUUCCGCCUGGGGAGUACGACCGCAAGGUUGAAACUCAAAGGAAUUGACGGGGCCCGCACAAGCGGUGGAGCAUGUGGUUUAAUUCGAAGCAACGCGAAGAACCUUACAGGUCUUGACAUCUUCUGAUAACCUAAGAGAUUAGGUGUUCCCUU